CUUAAAGGAAGUUGACGGGGCCCGCACAAGCGGAGGAGCAUGUGGUUAAUUCGAUGAUACGCGAGGAACCUUACCUGGGCUCGAACGUAAGAUGACUGUAGGUGAAAGCUUACAUCUCUUCGGAGCAUUUUACGAGGUGCUGCAUGGUUGUCGUCAGCUCGUGCCGUGAGGUGUCGGGUUAAGUCCCAUAACGAGCGCAACCCCUACCUUUAGUUGCCAUCAGGUUAAGCUGGGGACUCUAAAGGAACUGCCUACGCAAGUAGUGAGGAAGCGGGGAUGACGUCAAAUCAGCACGGCCCUUACGUCCAGGGCUACACACGUGCUACAAUGGCCGAUACAGAGGGCAGCUACCUGGUGACAGGAUGCAAAUCUCCAAAGUCGGUCUCAGUUCGGAUCGGAGUCUGCAACCCGACUCCGUGAAGUUGGAUUCGCUAGUAAUCGCGCAUCAGCCAUGGCGCGGUGAAUACGUUCCCGGGCCUU
rnacentral:rRNA from 1 species